CUUAUGUCCCGUCGAGGCCGGUUAGCCAGGUCUGAACUUGAUUGUGCUGAAGCAUCGUUGUUCCCUGUGACUUGCAUUGCCAUAAGAAACCAGAACUUCUCGACCCCCACGCCGCCGCCAACCUCGAUCACCCACAACGCCACAACAUUUGCUGACAUUGUGAGGUUUGGGAGGACUAGGAUGGAUGGGGAAGGUCAAUGCAGAGGAGGUUUUAGGGCACCUGGAGUCAUUGGCAGAUCUGGAGGUGGCUUUGGUUUCGGCAAUCGCGUGGAGGGGUUCACCUCGGGAGGCUUUGGGCAGGC
rnacentral:misc_RNA from 1 species